AUGGAGCUCAGGUUUUUAGUUCUGUUCUGUACUAUUCCAUGUGUUACUUUUGGGAAUGACAUCACACCAGUCCAGACUGAGGUGUUUGGGGCAGAGAUGGAUAAUAUAACAGUGUCCUGCAAAUACUCUUCAGCAGUUAGUCUGCAGUGGUAUCGCCAGUAUCCUGGUUCAGCUCCUGAAUUUCUUUUGAUAAUACUACAUGGGACUGGAAGCGUUUCCCAAAUAUCUACAAUUGUGAAGGAAGAUCCUCGGUUCUAUGGAAAACUGAAUAAAGAGAAAACCCAUGUGUUUCUGGAGAUCUCCACUGCUAAAGUGACUGACUCUGCCGUGUAUUACUGCGCUCUGCAGCCCACAGUGACAGGAAACACACAAACACUGAACAAAAACCUCACUUAG